rnacentral:rRNA from 1 species
UACGUAGGGGGCAAGCGUUGUCCGGAAUCAUUGGGCGUAAAGCGCGUGUAGGCGGCCCGGUAAGUCCGCUGUGAAAGUCGGGGGCUCAACCCUCGGAUGCCGGUGGAUACUGUCGGGCUAGAGUGCGGGAGAGGCGAGUGGAAUUCCUGGUGUAGCGGUGAAAUGCGCAGAUACCAGGAGGAACACCAAUUGCGAAGGCAGCUCGCUGGAACGUUACUGACGCUGAGACGCGAAAGCGUGGGGAGCAAACAGG